rnacentral:tRNA from 12 species
GCGGGUGUGGCGAAAUUGGCAGACGCACUAGACUUAGGAUCUAGCGCCAUUGGCGUGCAGGUUCAAAUCCUGUCACCCGCACCA